GCGACCCCAGGUCAGGCGGGAUUACCCGCUGAGUCUAA
rnacentral:rRNA from 1 species